rnacentral:rRNA from 1 species
UACGUAGGGGGCAAGCGUUGUCCGGAAUCAUUGGGCGUAAAGAGCGCGUAGGCGGUCCGGUAAGUCGGUUGUGAAAGUCAAGGGCUCAACCCUUGAAUGCCGACCGAUACUGUCGGGCUAGAGUCCGGAAGAGGCGAGUGGAAUUCCCGGUGUAGCGGUGAAAUGCGCAGAUAUCUGGAGGAAUACCGGUGGCGAAGGCGGCAUCCUGGACCGGCAUUGACGCUGAGGAGCGAAAGCCAGGGGAGCAAAGCGGG